GGAGAAGAUGGGGGAAAGUAUGCCUGUUUUUGUGACUUGUUGGUAACUGCCGAGUUCUUUUCCUUGGGACUAAAAACAAUUUACAGCAUUGCCAACAGCAUUCAGUACAUUCAGAACAGGAUCAUUUCACCCAGAGCUGACCGAAGGCCUUGCUCGGGACAGCAUCGAGGACGGCUGUCCAGCAGACAGGGGAGUAUGCCAGGUUCAGCAAGUGAAAAGCCAAGCAGGGCCAUUUUAAGCAACACAGCUUAUCAAAGAGUCUUUAGCAACAUAAAAACGAGCAUGUGUUAUUUGCAAACCAUCUGAACCAUUACUCAACCUGAAUGUUCCUAAGUUUUUGCAAGGGAUUUGCUACAAAUCUGAUCUUAAACUCACGGAAAUCCUCUGAUAUCAGCAUCCCAAGUCCUUGGAUUAAAUGGAGUUUAUUCCAGGAGCUUGACCCUUCCUGGAACCACACUGCCAGCUACCCAGGGAAGAGGAGCAGGCUAGAAUUGGAGAAAGCCAACUGCAUUGCACUCUAUGGGUAGGCAGAAGCACACUGGAGAUAAAGGCCUGGUUCAGUACCACACAUUUCAGUCACCAAAUGAGAAACAAUGGCUGCCAGUCUUCACACCCUUCAACAAUAAAGAGCUUUCAAGCUCUUGCUGUCAACAAGAGUUCUGGAAUGAUUACACUGGCUGAAAGACACAACGUAUCCACCCUUCCCACCCAUGGAUUCUUCAUCUAAACUCAAGCAAACCAAGACGGACAGCAUUAAGAAAUGAACCUGUCCCUGUAUGUGCAAACAAUUACCCUAUCAUGCUCCAAACAAUGUGCUAUAAUAACUGUAGCAUACUACCAGCGGUUAAAACUAACCUAGAGCAGACGAGAGAGCAUGUGCACACUACAUGCAAUACUAUUGUGCUUAUACAAGGGUCCUGAGCUUCUGAGGAUUUGAGCAUCAUAAAUAGAUAUCUGCUGAUAAAUAUCAUGCUUGUACUCACAGAACCGGAGAGGUCUCAGGAGGAUUAGGAGUUCAAGGCUGGCCUAGGCUACAUGAGUCCUUGUCUCAUAAAACAAAACAACUCAAAAUCAAUCCGAAACUAAGGGGAUCACCUAUCUGGCUCUAAGCAUAAGAGAUAAAAAUAAAACAAUGUUUCAGAAAAGAAGUGUCUAGAAGAAAAAAAUUAAAUAUAGCUAUUUUAAAAUAUUUUUAAAGGGAUUUCUUUUUUUGCACAGCAAAAUAAAAGCCAAAUUAUUUUUCCUUAAGUAGU